rnacentral:lncRNA from 1 species
CACAAUGCAGAGAACUUCCUCGCAGUGAGCAGCCUUGGGUCCUGGGGUAAUACAGCCAGCCCAGGGCAUUUGGGAAGCACUUAGCCAGGCCUGACAGUGGCCAGGCUGCUUCAUAAGACGCCUGGUGCACUAAAGAAGACUAGCAAAGCAGGGGGCGGACUAAAGUGGGCGGGAAAUGCUGCUUUCAUGCAUCUGCGUGUUGACAGGUAUGACCUCCCUGCUCACCCUGAGUUCUCUGAGUCACCUCUGUGCCCCCAGCACCCAGCACUGUGCCUGGCUCAGGGCAAAGGCUCAGAGAAUAUUUGUU